AAGGCACAGACAGCCAGGAUGUUGGCUUAGAAGCAGCCAUCAUUUAAAGAAAGCGUAAUAGCUCACUGGUCGAGUCGGCCUGCGCGGAAGAUGUAACGGGGCUAAACUGUGCACCGAAGCUGCGGCAACGACACUAUGUGUUGUUGGGUAGGGGAGCGUUCUGUAAGCCUGCGAAGGUGGCCUGUGAGGGUUGCUGGAGGUAUCAGAAGUGCGAAUGCUGACAUAAGUAACGAUAAUGCGGGUGAAAAGCCCGCA
rnacentral:rRNA from 1 species